rnacentral:rRNA from 1 species
AUUGAACGCUGGCGGCAGGCUUAACACAUGCAAGUCGAACUAGUGGCGGACGGGUGAGUAAUGCUUGGGACUCUGGCUGAUGGAGGGGGCUAACGACGGGAAACUGUCGCUAAUAGCGCAUACCAUAGGAUGAGCCCAAGUGGGAUUAGGUAGUUGGUGGGGGAAUGGCCGACCAGGCCGACGAGCUCUAGCUGGGCUGAGAGGAUGACGAUCCACACUGGGAUGUGGACCGGGCCCGGACUCCUACGGGGGCAAGAGCUGGGAAAUGUUGCGCAUGGGGGGAAGCCCUGGCGCGGACAGGCCGCGUGAGUGAGGAAGGCCUCGGGUUGUAAAGUUCUUUCGGUGACGAGGCGUUAACCACAGAAGAAGCACCGGCUAACUCCGUGCCAGCAGCCGCGGUAAUAC